GACGUAGGGCGCGAGCGUUGUCCGGAUUUAUUGGGCGUAAAGGGCUCGUAGGCGGUUUGUCGCGUCGGGAGUGAAAACCUCGGGCUUAACUCGGGGCUUGCUUUCGAUACGGGCAGACUGGAGGUAUGCAGGGGAGAACGGAAUUCCUGGUGUAGCGGUGGAAUGCGCAGAUAUCAGGAGGAACACCGAUAGCGAAGGCAGCUCGCUGGGACGGUACUGACGCUGAGGCGCGAAAGCGUGGGGAGCGAACAGG
rnacentral:rRNA from 1 species